rnacentral:rRNA from 1 species
UACGAAGGGGGCUAGCGUUGCUCGGAAUGACUGGGCGUAAAGGGCGCGUAGGCGGUUUACCCAGUUAGGCGUGAAAUUCCCGGGCUCAACCUGGGAACUGCGUUUAAUACAGGUAGACUUGAGUUCGGAAGAGGGUCGUGGAAUUCCCAGUGUAGAGGUGAAAUUCGUAGAUAUUGGGAAGAACACCGGUGGCGAAGGCGGCGACCUGGUCCGAUACUGACGCUGAGGCGCGAAAGCGUGGGGAGCAAACAGG